CCCCCUCGCCCGCCCUCCCUCCUCCCUGCGCACCCGGCUCCCGGUCCCCGGGCUCGCGGCUGCGGCUUCUGCUCUGGGAAGCUGCCGCGGCGGCGGGAGCGGUCAUGGAGGCGGGCGCCGGAACCAGCGCGGGAGCCGCGGGCUGGAGCUGCCAGGGCCCAGGACCCACAGUGACCACUCUAGGCUCCUAUGAGGCUUCGGAGGGCUGUGAGAGGAAGAAGGGCCAACGCUGGGGGUCCCUGGAACGACGGGGGAUGCAAGCUAUGGAGGGGGAGGUGUUACUCCCAGCUCUCUAUGAGGAGGAAGAGGAAGAGGAGGAAGAAGAGGUGGAAGAAGAAGAAGAACAAGUGCAGAAAGGUGGCAGUGUUGGCUCCCUGUCAGUCAACAAGCACCGGGGCCUGAGCCUCACAGAGACAGAGCUGGAGGAGCUGCGGGCUCAGGUGCUGCAGCUGGUGGCAGAGCUGGAGGAGACCCGGGAACUGGCAGGGCAGCAUGAGGAUGACUCCCUGGAGCUACAGGGGCUCCUGGAGGAUGAACGGCUGGCCAGCGCCCAGCAGGCGGAGGUGUUCACCAAGCAGAUCCAGCAGCUCCAAGGUGAGCUGCGUUCUCUGCGGGAGGAGAUUUCCCUGUUAGAGCAUGAGAAAGAAAGUGAACUUAAGGAAAUAGAACAGGAACUACAUUUGGCCCAGGCUGAGAUCCAGAAUUUGCGGCAAGCAGCGGAGGAUUCUGCAACUGAACAUGAGAGUGACAUAGCAUCCCUUCAGGAGGAUCUCUGCCGGCUGCAGAAUGAACUUGAAGACAUGGAACGCAUUCGGGGAGAUUACGAGAUGGAGAUUGCCUCCCUCCGUGCAGAGAUGGAAAUGAAGAGCUCUGAAACAUCCAAUAGUUUAAGUCUCUCAGAUUUCUCUGGGUUGCAAGAAGAACUUGAGCAGCUGCGGGAACGCUACCAUUUCCUGAAUGAGGAGUACCGGGCCCUGCAGCAGAGCAACAGUAGCCUCACGGGGCAGCUUGCGGAUCUGGAGAGCGAGAGGACACAAAGAGCAACGGAGAGAUGGCUGGAGUCACAACCACUAAGGAGUAUGACGUCAGUAGAGUCCCAGACUUCAGAAAUGGAUUUCCUAGAGCCUGAUCCUGAGAUGCAGUUGUUACGGCAGCAGCUAUGGGAUGCUGAAGAGCAGAUGCAUGACAUGAAGGAGAAGUGUCAGGAGUUGUGUUGUGAGUUGCAAGAGCUACAGCAUCAUCGCCAGGUCAGUGAGGAGGAGCAGAGGAGGCUGCAGAGGGAGCUCAAGUGUGCUCAGAAUGAGGUGCUUCGGUUCCAGACCUCCCACAGUGUCACCCAGAACGAGGAGCUGAAGUCCAGACUCUGUACCCUGCAGAAAAAAUAUGAUACUAGCCAGGAUGAGCAGAAUGAGCUCUUGAAAGCACAGCUACAACUUCAGGCUGAGCUCCGGCAGCUCAAAGUCAUGAAAUCCACACUUGUAGAAAACCAGAGUGAGAAGGAGUUACUGUGCCGGCUGCAGAAGCUGCAGCUCCAGCACCAGAAUGUCACAUUUGAGAAGGAAAAGCUGCUGGAACGGCAGCAGCAGCUGCAGGAGGAGCUGCAGUGCCAUGAGGCAGAGCUGCAGCACCUCAGGGAUAUGGCGGCCUCCUUCAAAGACAGCAAGGAGAAGAACACAAAGACCCACGCCCAGUUUCAGGAGAUGAAGCAGCUGUACCAGGCCAGCAAGGACGAGCUGGAGCGGCAGAAGCACAUGUAUGACCAGCUGGAGCAGGACCUCCUGCUCUGCCGGCUGGAGCUGAAAGAGCUCAAGGCCUCCCAGCCCAUUCCAGAGGACAAAGGAAAGUGUACUAAUAAGUGUGACACACUGCUGUCCAGACUGACAGAAUUGCAGGAAAAGUACAAGGCCAGCCAGAAGGAGAUCGGGCAGCUACAGAUGGAGCAGUGUGAGCUCCUGGAGGAUCAGAGGAGGUUGCAGGAGGAGCAGGGCCAGCUGCAGGAAGAGCUGCACAGGCUCACACUGCCACUGCCCAAGAGUGGCCUCUUACUCAAGAGUCAGGAGCUACUCACCAAGUUAGAAGACCUGUGGGAACUGCAGCUGCUCUACCAAGGCAUGCAGGAGGAACAGAAGAAGCUGAUACAGAACCAAGACUUCGUAUUGAAAGAACAAUUAGAGCUAUAUGAAGAGCUGCAACAUUUCAAAGAAUCUCAUUUCCAGGAAGUGUUGGAGAAUCCAGAUGAUUCCAAAUUGGCUAAGUCCUCAAAAUGUGAUCGAAACAAGCAAUCCAAAUUGCUUAUGGAGCAGAUGCAGACCCUGCAGGUGCUGUAUGAAGCCAGUCAGGCGGAGCAGGAGCUCUUGCAGCAAGAGCAACGGAGGCUCCUAGAGGAGCGGAAGAGGCUGCAGACGGACUUGCAGCUCUGCCUCGAAGAAAUGCAACUGCUUCAAGUCCAGUCCCCUUCUAUAAAAAUGAGCCUUGAGUCCUACAGAAAGAGCUAUGGUAGCAGCAUGCCCCCCAGCAAUGAGAACUGUCACGAUAGCCAUAGCACAAUUGAUGACAAUGAGAGCUAUUGCAAGAGUUAUACCAGCACCCAGACCAGAGACGAGAGCCUCCUCAAGAGCUAUGACAGCAGCACCAGUGCCAGUGAGACCUAUGAAAAGAGUUAUUGCACCACCAGCAACAGCAGCAUUACCUAUGAGAAGAGUUACGGCAGCACCAGUAGCUUUGACACCUUUCACAAGAGUUCUGUCAGCAGCUGCACUGACGAUGAACCUGCUGAGCCUGAAGACACAGAGCACUUUGAGGAAAUGGUUGCGAAGGUGCUGAUCAAGCUGCAGGCAGUGCAGGCCAUGUACCAGAUAAGCCAGGAGGAGCACAGCCAGCUGCAAGAGCAGAUGGAAAAGUUACUGGCCAAGCAGAAAGACCUGAAGGAAGAGAUGGAUGCCUGUGAAAAGGAGUUUAAGGAGUGCAUGGAAGGCCUUGAAAAGCCUGUGGCCCCCCAGAACGACCAGAAUGAGAUCAAAGACCUGCAGACCAAGCUGCGGGAGCUGCAGCUGCAAUACCAGGCUAGCAUGGAUGAGCAGGGGCGGCUUCUGGCAGUGCAGGAGCAGCUGGAGGGGCAGCUGCAGUGCUGCCAGGAGGAGCUCCGCCAGCUCAGGGAGAAGAGACCCUCCACUUUCAAAGCCCAGGGGAAGAAUGCUAAUAAGAACAUGAACAAGAAUGCCAAUGGGGUUAAAACUAAAAAGGUGACCAAGCUGUGCUCAGAUACUUCCAAGAGUGACUUUGAGACCAGAAAGAGUCUGGAGGUGGUGCUGUACUACAAGGCCAGCCAGAUGAAAUUAGAUGGACUAGCAAAAGAGGAGGAAAAGAGAGAGGAGAUGGAGGAGGAAAAAGAGAAGGAGGUGAAAGAGGAAACAAAGGAGCCAUGUGGGGAUGAGCUAGCAGCUGAGCCAGAAGAUCCUGGGGAAGCUAAAUCCACAGAAGAUCAGGAGGAAAAUAAAGAGGACAAUGAAGACGAGGAAGAUGACAUCAACUCUUCCCUUGAAAGUCCCAAAGAAAACAAUCCCCUCAGACUUUCUGAGAGCAAAAAGCGUCACAAGAAGGGUCUAGGUGCAGAUACCUCGUGCCUAACAAGAUAUGAGAGGUCUAUGACAAGACAGAAAGAAAACUGGACUCACCGCCUGACUUGGACCUGGCUGCUGCUUAACCCAUUCAAUUUUGCAAUUCCUGCAGACUGCUGGCGGAAAGAACCAAGGCCCAGGCAGCAGAAAAGACAUGCAACUGCUCUAGCUUACCUGUUUUUUAACCUCUUGAUUCCUUUCUCUUUUCCCUUUGUUUUCUCAUCUUCAUUAUCUGUUGGAUCCAUGUGUUUAUGUCUCACAUCUCCUGGUCUCUCCUCGUGCUUCUUUCUCAUUUUGGUUUGUUGCAGUCAUCCCCUACCCCCGAUCCCCCCAUCUUCUCCUUGCCUCUUGUAGGCCUGGUGGUCAUCUCGGCUUUGCUCUGGUGCUGGUGGGCUGAGACGUCGUCCUAAUGCAGAACAUGUUUGGGUUGUGGAAGCCUAUGGUAUUCUUGGCUAUUGCAGCUGUGGCUCUGUAUGUGUUACCCAACAUGCGACAGCAGGAGUCAGAGUUCUGCCUCAUGGAGUGAUGGCAGUCCUUGGCCAGCGCAAGGGCA